rnacentral:rRNA from 1 species
CCUACGGGUGGCAGCAGUGAGGAAUAUUGGUCAAUGGACGAGAGUCUGAACCAGCCACGUAGCGUGAAGGAUGAAUGCCCUAUGGGUUGUAAGCUUCUUUUAUAAAGGAAUAAAACGAGGCACGUGUGCCUUUUUGCAUGUCCUUUAUGAAUACGGCUCGGCUAACUCCGUGCCAGCAGCCGCGGUAAUCCGGGGGAGCCGCGUGUUAUCCGGAUUUAUUGGGUUUAAAGGGAGCGUAGAUGGGUUGUUAAGUCAGUUGUGAAAGGUUGCGGCUCAACCGUAAAAUUGCAAUUGAUACUGGCAGUCUUGAGGACAGUGGAGGUAGGCGGAAUUCGUGGUGGAGCGGUGAAAUGCGUAGAUAUCAGGAAGAACCCCGAUUGCGAAGGCAGCUUACUAAACUGUGACUGACAUUGAGGCUCGAAAGUGUGGGUAGCAAACAGGAUUAGAUACCCCAGUAGUC